rnacentral:rRNA from 1 species
UACCAGCUCCCUGAGUGGUAAGGACGAUUAUUUGGCCUAAAGCGUCCGUAGCCGGCUUAUCAAGUCUUUUGUUAAACCCAAUGAUUCAAUCAUUGAUCUGCAAGAGAUACUGUUAUGCUAGAGGACGGGAGAGGUCGACGGUAGUCCAGGGGUAGGGGUGAAAUCCUAUAAUCCUUGGAGGACCACCAGUGGCGAAGGCGGUCGACUAGAACGUGCCUGACGGUGAGGGACGAAAGCUGGGGGAGCGAACCGGAUUAGAUACCCGGGUAGUCCCAGCUGUAAACGAUGCGGGCUAGGUGUUGGGGUAGCUACGAGCUACUCCAGUGCCGCAGAGAAGUUGUUAAGCCCGCCGCCUGGGGAGUACGGCCGCAAGGCUAGAAACUUAAGGAAUUGGCGGGGGAGCACCACAAGGGGUGAAGGCUGCGGUUU